rnacentral:rRNA from 1 species
GUGGGGAAUAUUGGGCAAUGGGCGAAAGCCUGACCCAGCAACGCCGCGUGAAGGAAGAAGGCCUUCGGGUUGUAAACUUCUUUUAUGAGGGACGAAGGACGUGACGGUACCUCAUGAAUAAGCCACGGCUAACUACGUGCCAGCAGCCGCGGUAAUACGUAGGUGGCAAGCGUUGUCCGGAUUUACUGGGUGUAAAGGGCGCGUAGGCGGACUGGCAAGUCAGAUGUGAAAUCCAUGGGCUCAACUCAUGAACUGCAUUUGAAACUGUUGGUCUUGAGUGUCGGAGAGGCAAGCGGAAUUCCUAGUGUAGCGGUGAAAUGCGUAGAUAUUAGGAGGAACACCAGUGGCGAAGGCGGCUUGCUGGACGAUAACUGACGCUGAGGCGCGAAAGCGUGGGGAGCAAACAGGAUUAGAAACCCUUGUAGUCC